ACUCCUACGGGAGGCAGCAGUGGGGAAUCUUGCGCAAUGGGCGAAAGCCUGACGCAGCGACACCGCGUGGGGGAUGAAGGCCCUUAGGGUCGUAAACCCCUUUCGGCAGGGACGAAGCGAUCACGUGACGGUACCUCCAGAAGAAGCCCCGGCUAACUACGUGCCAGCAGCCGCGGUAAU
rnacentral:rRNA from 1 species